rnacentral:rRNA from 1 species
ACCCGCUGAACUUAAGCAUAUCAAUAAGCGGAGGAAAAGAAACUAACAAGGAUUCCCCUAGUAACUGCGAGUGAAGCGGGAAAAGCUCAAAUUUAAAAUCUGGUGGCCUUUGGUCAUCCGAGUUGUAAUUUAGAGAAGCGUCUUCCGCGCUGAACCGUGCACAAGUCUCCUGGAAUGGAGCGUCAUAGAGGGUGAGAAUCCCGUCUUUGGCACGGAACAUCAGGGCUUCUGUGAUGCGCUCUCGACGAGUCGAGUUGUUUGGGAAUGCAGCUCAAAAUGGGUGGUGAACUCCAUCUAAAGCUAAAUAUUGGCGAGAGACCGAUAGCGAACAAGUACCGUGAGGGAAAGAUGAAAAGCACUUUGGAAAGAGAGUGAAACAGUACGUGAAAUUGUUGAAAGGGAAACGCUUGAAGUCAGUCGCGUCGACCGAGACUCAGCCUUGCCUUGGCUUGGUGUACUUCUCGGCUGAUGGGUCAGCAUCAAUUUUGAUCCUCGGAUAAUGGCAAGGGAAAGGUAGCACCUUUUUAGGUGUGUUAUAGUCCUUCGUCGCAUACGGGGGUUGGGAUUGA